rnacentral:rRNA from 1 species
AUGUCGUCAUCGUGGGUGGUGGAUGUCGACUGCCCUGAGCCGCAGGCGAACAUGGAGGGAUGGGUGAUGGACAUGGAGAAGCAGCUGGAGGACGCGGAGCCGCCGGCAAAGGUGCUGAGAUGGCCGAAGCACGGCAUCUUCCGCGUCCCGCUGCGCUUCAAGAUGAAGACGGUUGAUGGCAUGUAUUUUCUUUACGGGAAAAUGGAAGAUGCCCCGGAAGGGACCGGCUUGGGACUCCACCCUCUUGACAUCUAUCGGACGAGCCGACUCAAGGGCACAAGUCAGAUCAAGAGUAACAGAAAGGUUCUUCACAGAGGCAUGCCGACGACACCGACAUCAAAGGACGUCAGCGUCGUUUGCCCGGAGAGUGUGGUGCCCCGAUCCGCCUGGAAGCUGUCGGAGGCAGGAAUCCAGUUCCUGCCUAGCAAGACGAGCUGCCUCGACGACAUAGAGCUCUACAUGCCCAAGGUCGAGAUGGACGACUCCACCACCUACAGGAUCCACAACAUGAUGGCGUUCGAGGCGAUGCACGUCGGCACUGGCAAUGACGUGACGGCAUACGUGUUGUUCGUCAAGGACCUCAUCAACUCUGCCGACGACGUGCAACUACUGGAGAGGAAGGGGAUCCUGGAGCACGACCUCGCUGACGACGACAAUGCUGUGGUGAGGCUCUUCAACAGCCUCACCAGAGACGUCUCCAAGAAUUGGAAGAGUCAGCCGUGCCAGGUGAGUCAGGGCGUGGAUCACCAUUACCGCAACAACCAUUUGCGUGUGUUUCUCUACGGGGCGUGGUCAAACCUGAGGAACAAGUACUUCAAGAGCCUGUGGACACUCCUCGCCCUUGUCACCGCAAUCCUGCUCGUCGUUGGAGAUAUCCUAUGA